UUACGGCCGCACCACGUUGAAAACGCCGGAUCCCGUAAAGAUCUCCGAAGUUAAGCAAAGCCGAGCCAGCCUGGUCAGUAACUUAAUAGGUGACCGCUUGUGAAUACCAGGUGAUGCAAG